AGCAUGUGGUUUAAUUCGAUGAUACGCGAGGAACCUACCUGGGCUCAAAUGUAUGUUGACGAUUCUGAAAGGGAUAACUUCUUCGGACAAUAUACAAGGUGCUGCAUGGUUGUCGUCAGCUCGUGCCGUGAGGUGUCGGGUUAAGUCCCAUAACGAGCGCAACCCCUAUCAUUAGUUGCCAUCAGGUCAAGCUGGGGACUCUAAAGGGACUGCCGGUGUUAAACCGGAGGAAGGUGGGGAUGACGUCAAGUCCUCAUGGCCUUUAUGACCAGGGCUACACACGUACUACAAUGGCCGAUACAAAGGGCAGCGACACUGCGAGGUGAAGCCAAUCCCGUAAAAUCGGUCUCAGUCCGGAUUGGAGUCUGCAACUCGACUCCAUGAAGUUGGAAUCGCUAGUAAUCGUGGAUCAGCAUGCCACGGUGAAUACGUUCCCGGGCCUU
rnacentral:rRNA from 1 species